rnacentral:misc_RNA from 1 species
UUUUUUUUUUUUUUUUAAUUUUGCUUGGGUUAGGUCGAAAUUCGUAUACUUUUCCAAGGGCAAACACGUCUUUUUAGUCACUUCAACCAUCGUCUUCAUCUCAUAUCACCGCAUGCGGCAUCAGUCGCUCCCUCCAUCUCCCUGUCCUCCAUGGCCUCAGCUCUUCACUCAAAUCUCACCUUUUCCACUUUCCUCUAUCCAAAACCCAAUCUCAAAACCCUAACCAAACCUCCGAACACCACUAUAGCUACAACCAUACGCUGCGGCGGUCCUCGAUCCAACCGCGGUCCUCUCGUCAGAGGCCGUAUCUUAAGUACCGAAGCAAUCCUUGCUGUCCAAUCUCUCAAACGAGCCUAUAAAAAAUCAUCAUCAAACCUCACAGAUCUCCCUGAUCUCUCCCGCCUCAUUAAAUCAGACCUCCUUUCUAUACUCCGCGAGCUCCUCCGGCAAGACCUCUGUCCCCUCGCCAUCCACGUGCUCUCAACGCUCCGAUCUGAAUACUCUGGCCAGAUUGAUUUGGGCCUCUACGCAGACGUAAUCUCUGGUCUCUCUAGGAACAAAUUGUGCGAGCACAUUGACAAGUUAAUUGAGGAUUUGGAGAAAGAUGAGGGUGGGAUUCAGUGGGAGACAGAUAAGGGAUUGUUGAGGGUGAUAAGAGGCGUGGUGGAUGCGGGAAGAAGGGAAUCGGCGGUGAAGAUUUGUGAGAUUUUGAGGAGGAGUGGGUGUGGGGAAACGUGGCCGGCGGAUGAGUAUGUGGUUGGUGUUUUGAGUAAAGGGCUAAGGAGGAUGGGGGAGACGGAGUUGGCGAGUGAGGUUGACGAGAAAUUUGGUGGGAUUUUUAGGGGUGGUGCAUUUGCAUAAAAGGAAAUGAUUGAAAAAUGGUAGUUAUCCUCGCUUCAACACGAUUGGUGAGAGCUUGGGUUCAACAUAUCUUUCCUGAGAAGCUUAGUGCAAGUUUACUCAUUUGUAUUAUUUUGACUCUAAUGGUUGUGCUUUCACUUACCACUUGCUUAGAUUUUUGGUUGCAAAGUUUUCUGUUACAUGCAUUAUCCUAUUAUCAGUUUAUAUAUGAUUUCUAUUAUGUACAGCAAUGAUGCCUCAAUUGCCAGGAGGUUAGAGUUUUGCAGUUUUCUAUGUGUGGUUAGACAAUAAGGUUUAUCAGAAUUUGGGAGAUGAUUGUUGUUAAUUUUUUAGAUGGACUUGGAUUAUUUGGGUCUAGAUUGAGCUAUUACUCGAGUUGGCUAACUACAUCAAAUGAUUGUGUUAAAAAGGAUAACUUUUCACCUUCAAGUUCAUUUCAGUUCUCCCAUUUGCCUUCACCGGGAUUGAUGUUCAUUGAGCUUUAGCCUUUGCUUUAUUUGUGGAGAAUUUAGGCAAACAUUUUCAAAUUAAGGAGGAUAAAGUUUUCCUGGGUCUGUUCACUAAAGUUCAUUGUAACAAUAGAAAAAUGAAGAGAACAAUAACCCUCUGUAUAAGAAAAGAUCAAGGGAAAAAAAAUUUUCAAUCUGGAAUUGUUUUCUGUUGUAUCAACUAUAGCUUACAUUGAUCUUGUAGAUUUUCUUUUAUUAGGGAGCUUCACAUCUCAGUUUUUCUAUUUUAUACAGUUUCUAAAGGAUUCUUUUCAUGCAGCAGUGGUUGGUUAUCACAGUGCAAAAUCAUCUACUAUACAUUCUUUAGUUGGAUGUAU